rnacentral:rRNA from 1 species
UGGCGGACGGGUGAGUAACGCGUAAAGAACUUGCCCUUUAGACUGGGAUAACAGAGGGAAACUUCUGAUAAUACUGGAUAAGUUAGUAUAUCGCAUGAUAUGCAAAUGAAAGCUACGGCACUAAAGGAGAGCUUUGCGUCCUAUUAGCUAGUUGGUAAGGUAAGAGCUUACCAAGGCGAUGAUAGGUAGCCGGCCUGAGAGGGUGGACGGCCACAAGGGGACUGAGAUACGGCCCUUACUCCUACGGGAGGCAGCAGUG